ensembl:piRNA 21ur-2966 ncRNA
UCAUAUUUUAGGCUCGAUUCG